AUUGAACGCUGGCGGCAGGCCUAACACAUGCAAGUCGAACGAGUGGCGGAGGGGUGAGUACUGUCUGGGAACCUGCCUGAUGGCGGGGGAUCACUACUGGAAAAGGCAGCUAAUACCGCAUACCAUGCGCUGUGCGCAGACGGGAUGAGCUAGUCGGUGGGGUAACGGCUCACCUGGGCGACGAUCCCUAGCUGGACUGCGAGGUUGAACAGCCACACUGGAACUGAGACACGGUCCAGACUCCUACGGGAGGCAGCAGUGGGGAAUAUUGCGCAAUGGGCGAAAGCCUGAUGCAGCCAUGCCGCGUGAAUGAAGAAGGCUUUCGGGUUGUAAAGUACUUUCAGCGGGGAAGCGUUACCCACAUAAGAAGCACCGGCUAACUCCGUGCCAGCAGCCGCGGUAAUAC
rnacentral:rRNA from 1 species